GCAACUAUACUAAUUAACAUAUCUUUCUUCAAGUCAUCCAUCACCUACGGUUCUCAUUCCUGCCCUUCGAACUGUGGGGAACAUCGUAACUGGUGAUGACUCUCAGACACAGUUUAUAAUUGAUAGUGGUGUACUUCCGCACCUUUACAAUUUGCUUACGCAAAAUCACAAGAAAAGUAU